CAGCCGCGGUAAGACGUAGGAUGCAAACGUUGUCCGGAUUUAUUGGGCGUAAAGAGUUCGUAGGCGGUGACUUAAGUCUGAUGUUAAAGACCAGAGCUCAACUCUGGCACGGCAUUAGAUACUGGGCCACUAGAGUUCGGUAGGGGUAACGGGAAUUCCUGGUGUAGCGGUGAAAUGCGUAGAUAUCAGGAGGAACACCUGUGGCGAAAGCGCGUUACUGGACCGAUACUGACGCUGAGGAACGAAAGCCUGGGUAGCGAAAGGGAUUAGAUACCCCUGUAGUCCAGGCCGUAAACGAUGGAUACUAGGUGUUGGAGGAAUCGACCCCCCCAGUGCCGUAGCUAACGCGAUAAGUAUCCCGCCUGGGGAGUACGACCGCAAGGUUGAAACUCAAAGGAAUUGACGGGGGCCCGCACAAGCGGUGGAACAUGUGGUUUAAUUCGAUGCAACGCGAAGAACCUUACCUGGGCUUGACAUCUGGCGAAUCUCUAGGAAACUAGGGAGUGCCUUCGGGAACGCCAAGACAGGUGGUGCACGGUUGUCGUCAGCUCGUGUCGUGAGAUGUUGGGUUAAGUCCCGCAACGAGCGCAACCCUCGUGGUCUGUUGCUACAGGUAGAAAUACGCUGAGCACUCAGGCCAGACUGCCGGUGACAAACCGGAGGAAGGUGGGGAUGACGUCAAAUCAUCACGCCCCUUAUGUCCAGGGCUACACACGUGUUACAAUGGGUAAUGGACAACGGGUUGCUUGUCAGCAAUGGGCCGGCUAAUCCCUCAAACCAUCCCUCAGUUCGGAUCGGAGUCUGCAACUCGGCUCCGUGAAGUUGGAAUCGCUAGUAACCGUAGAUCAGCACGCUGCGGUGAAUACGUUCCCGGGUCCUUGU
rnacentral:rRNA from 1 species